rnacentral:rRNA from 1 species
GAUGAACGCUGGCGGCGUGCUUAACACAUGCAAGUCGAACGAGAAUCAACGGAUUGAGGAUUCGUCCAAAUGAAGUUGAGGAAAGUGGCGGACGGGUGAGUAACGCGUGAGGAACCUGCCUCGGAGUGGGGAAUAACAGUUGGAAACAGCUGCUAAUACCGCAUAAUAUAUACAGGUCGCAUGAUUUGUAUAUCAAAGAUUUAUCGCUGAAAGAUGGACUCGCGUCUGAUUAGCUAGUUGGCGGGGUAACGGCCCACCAAGGCGACGAUCAGUAGCCGGACUGAGAGGUUGAACGGCCACAUUGGGACUGAGAUACGGCCCAG